GUCGGGAUAGCCAAGCGGUCCAAGGCGGCAGGUUGCUAACCUGCUCUCCCUUACGGGAGGCGAGGGUUCGAAUCCCUCUCCCGACG
rnacentral:tRNA from 2 species